rnacentral:rRNA from 1 species
GCUAGUUGAUGUUGAGAACAUAGCGUACGGGUGAGUACACAUAAGAAUCUGCCUUAAGAAUUGGAAUAAUUUUUUGCUGAUUUUAUUAGUAAUAAAAAAUACCAAAUAUUUAAAAGAUUUUAUAUCGUCUUAAGAUGAGCUUAUGCAGGAUUAGGUAGUUGGAGAGGUAAAAGCUCAACAAGCCGACGAUCCUUAGUUGAUUUGAGAGAAUGAUCAGCCACACUGGGACUGAGAUAAGGCCCAGGCUUUUGCCAGCAGUGAGGAAUCUUGGACAAUGGGCGAAAGCUUGAUCCAGUAAUAUUGCGUGAAUGAGGACAGCAAAAAAGAUUUAGGGGUUAAACCUUAAAUUGGUUGUAAAGUUCUUUCGUUAGUGAAGAUAAUGACCGUAACUAAAGAAGAAACCCCGGCUAACUUCGUGCCAGCAGCCGCGGUAAGACGAAGGGGGUGAGCAUUAUCCGGAAUUAUUGGGCGUAAAGGGUUCGUAGGUUGCAAAAUGUUUUCAUAUGUAAAAGUUUAAUCUUGUGUUUAAAAAGGCGUAUGAUACUCUUUUGCUUUGAGUCUAUUAGGGGAUAACAGAAUUUUAUAGGGAGGAGUGAAAUCCGUAGAGCUAUAAAGGAAUGCCAGUGGCGAAAGCGGUUAUCUGGAAUAGUACUGACACUGAGGAACGAAAGCAUGGGGAGCAAACAGGAUUAGAUACCCUGGUAGUCCAUGCUGUCAAUUAUGAAUGCUAGCAUUUGGAUUUCAUUCUUUUGCACAGUUAACACGUUAAGCAUUCCGCCUGGGAAGUACGAUCGCAAGAUUGGAACUCAAAGGAAUUGACGGGAGUCUAUACAAGUGGUGGAGCAUGUGGUUUAAUGCGAAAAUACGCGCGAAAUCUUACCAGUUCUUGCAUACUUUUUAAAAUUUUAGUAAAGUAAAAUUUAGUUUUAAAUCUAUACAUAGACUUAUAACAAUAUUGUACAGGUGCUGCAUGGCUGUCGUCAGCUCGUGCUGUGAAGUGUUUGGUUCAGUCCUUUAACGAGCGCAACUCUUUUUCUAUAUUGGUAAUAAAAUUAUUUUGUUAUAUUUUUAUCCACUUAUAGAAUACUGCUAAUGAUAAAUUGGAGGAAGGUGAGAACGACGUCAAGCCCUUAUGGCCCUUAUGAACUGGGCUACUCACGUGCUACAAUGGUAAAAACAGCGAGUUCUACAAAAAAGCGAUUUUGAGUUAAUCUUAAAAAUUUACCGUGUACAGAUUGAAGACUGCAAUUCGUCUUCAUAAAGGUGGAAUCACAAGUAAUCGUAAAUCAGCACGUUACGGUGAAUAUGUACUUAGACUUUGCACACACCGCCCGUCACAUGCUAGGAGUAGAUCUUGUUUGAAAUAUUUAAUUAUUAUUAUAAUUUUGGUUAUGCUAAAUAAGUUGACUACGUUUAUAGUAAUUAAUU